rnacentral:rRNA from 1 species
CCUACGGGCGGCAGCAGUGGGGAAUAUUGGACAAUGGGGGGAACCCUGAUCCAGCCAUGCCGCGUGUGUGUAGAAGGCCCUCGGGUUGUAAAGCACUUUCAGUGAGGAAGAACGCCUGGUGGUUAAUACCCAUCAGGAAAGACAUCACUCACAGAAGAAGCACCGGCUAACUCCGUGCCAACAGCCGCGGUAAUACGGAGGGUGCGAGCGUUAAUCGGAAUUACUGGGCGUAAAGCGCGCGUAGGUGGCUUGAUAAGCCGGUUGUGAAAGCCCCGGGCUCAACCUGGGAACGGCAUCCGGAACUGUCAAGCUAGAGUGCAGGAGAGGAAGGUAGAAUUCCCGGUGUAGCGGUGAAAUGCGUAGAGAUCGGGAGGAAUACCAGUGGCGAAGGCGGCCUUCUGGACUGACACUGACACUGAGGUGCGAAAGCGUGGGUAGCAAACAGGAUUAGAUACCCGAGUAGUC